rnacentral:rRNA from 1 species
AAAUUGAAGAGUUUGAUCAUGGCUCAGAUUGAACGCUGGCGGCAGGCCUAACACAUGCAAGUCGAACGGUAACAGGAAGCAGCUUGCUGCUUCGCUGACGAGUGGCGGACGGGUGAGUAAUGUCUGGGAAACUGCCUGAUGGAGGGGGAUAACUACUGGAAACGGUGGCUAAUACCGCAUAACGUCGCAAGACCAAAGAGGGGGACCUUCGGGCCUCUUGCCAUCAGAUGUGCCCAGAUGGGAUUAGCUUGUUGGUGAGGUAACGGCUCACCAAAGCGACGAUCCCUAGCUGGUCUGAGAGGAUGACCAGCCACACUGGAACUGAGACACGGUCCAGACUCCUACGGGAGGCAGCAGUGGGGAAUAUUGCACAAUGGGCGCAAGCCUGAUGCAGCCAUGCCGCGUGUAUGAAGAAGGCC